rnacentral:sRNA from 1 species
UUCCGUAGGGUAACCUGCGGAGGGAUCAUUACCGAGUUUUCAACUCCCAAACCCUUAUGUGAACCUACCUAUCGUUGCUUCGGCGGACUCGCCCCAGCCGGACGCGGACUGGACCAGCGGCCGCCGGGGACCAUCAAACUCUUGUAUUAUCAGCAUCUUCUGAAUACGCCGCAAGGCAAAACAAAUAAAUUAAAACUUUCAACAACGGAUCUCUUGGCUCUGGCAUCGAUGAAGAACGCAGCGAAAUGCGAUAAGUAAUGUGAAUUGCAGAAUCCAGUGAAUCAUCGAAUCUUUGAACGCACAUUGCGCCCGCCAGCAUUCUGGCGGGCAUGCCUGUUCGAGCGUCAUUUCAACCCUCGACCUCCCUUUGGGGAAGUCGGCGUUGGGGACCGGCAGCACACCGCCGGCCCUGAAAUGGAGUGGCGGCCCGUCCGCGGCGACCUCUGCGUAGUAAACCAACUCGCACCGGAACCCCGACGUGGCCACGCCGUAAAACACCCAACUUCUGAACGUUGACCUCGAAUCAGGUAG